rnacentral:rRNA from 1 species
AGUGAACGCUGGCGGUAGGCCUAACACAUGCAAGUCGAACGGCAGCACAGUAAGAGCUUGCUCUUACGGGUGGCGAGUGGCGGACGGGUGAGGAAUACAUCGGAAUCUACUUUUUCGUGGGGGAUAACGUAGGGAGACUUACGCUAAUACCGCAUACGACCUACGGGUGAAAGCAGGGGAUCUUCGGACCUUGCGCGAUUGAAUGAGCCGAUGUCGGAUUAGCUAGUUGGCGGGGUAAAGGCCCACCAAGGCGACGAUCCGUAGCUGGUCUGAGAGGAUGAUCAGCCACACUGGAACUGGGACACGGUCCAGACUCCUACGGGAGGCAGCAGUGGGGAAUAUUGGACAAUGGGCGCAAGCCUGAUCCAGCCAUACCGCGUGGGUGAAGAAGGCCUUCGGGUUGUAAAGCCCUUUUGUUGGGAAAGAAAAGCAGCAGGUUAAUACCCCGCUGUUCUGACGGUACCCAAAGAAUAAGCACCGGCUAACUUCGUG